rnacentral:tRNA from 1 species
GGAUUUAGCUUAGUGGUAGAGCGCUUGCCUAGCAAGCACAAGGCCCUGGGUUCAGUCCCCAGCUCCG